UUUCUUGCAUUCGAAAGCACAUGGGUGGUCAUAUGAACUUAAAAUAAGGUGUCCUAAUUUCCUCUUGAAUAAAUUGCUUAAAUCUUGAAGUUACUUGUUGAAGAAGGCAUGGAAAUAAACACAUGAACCUCUUGACUUUUCUUGAGAAGUAAGCCACAAAACUUUGAGAUGCUCUUAAUUUGAGUAGCCCUAUAUUGCACAAUAAACUUUAGUAAAACAAGAC
rnacentral:lncRNA from 1 species